AUUGAACGCUGGCGGCAGGCCUAACACAUGCGGGUCGAACGGUAACAGGAAGCAGCUUGCUGCUUCGCUGACGAGUGGCGGACGGGUGAGUAAUGUCUGGGAAACUGCCUGAUGGAGGGGGAUAACUACUGGAAACGGUAGCUAAUACCGCAUAACGUCGCAAGACCAAAGAGGGGGACCUUAGGGCCUCUUGCCAUCGGAUGUGCCCAGAUGGGAUUAGCUAGUAGGUGGGGUAACGGCUCACCUAGGCGACGAUCCCUAGCUGGUCUGAGAGGAUGACCAGCCACACUGGAACUGAGACACGGUCCAGACUCCUACGGGAGGCAGCAGUGGGGAAUAUUGCACAAUGGGCGCAAGCCUGAUGCAGCCAUGCCGCGUGUAUGAAGAAGGCCUUCGGGUUGUAAAGUACUUUCAGCGGGGAGGAAGGGAGUAAAGUUAAUACCUUUGCUCAUUGACGUUACCCGCAGAAGAAGCACCGGCUAACUCCGUG
rnacentral:rRNA from 1 species